rnacentral:rRNA from 1 species
GACGAACGCUGGCGGCGUGCCUAACACAUGCAAGUCGAACGGAGAGAUACGAGAGCUUGCUCUUGUAGGGCUGAGUGGCACGCGGGGGAGUGACGCGUAAACAACCUGCCCAACGGGUGGGGACAACAGACGGAAACGACUGCUAAUACCCGAUAGACUCCUGUGUCGCAUGAAACCGACAGGAAAGGUCGCCUCUCGAAGAAGCUACCGCCGCCGGAGGGGUUUGCGUUUGAUUAGUCGGUUGGGCGGGUAACGGCCUACCAAGGCGAUGAACAAUAGCCGGUCCGAGAAGAUGGACGGCCCCCCUGGAAACGAGACCACGGCCAGGCCCCCACCGGAAGGCGCCGGUGGGAAUCUUCCGAAAUUGACGACAGGCCUAAGGAACAACGCCGCGUGAGGGAAGAAGGCCUUCGGGUUGGAAAGCUCGGUUAUUCGGGAAGAACGAUCCGUUUGUAAAUAAGGAGCGGAAGUGACGGUACCGAAAGAGAAAGCCCCGGCUAACUACGUG